ACGAAAUAGUCGGGGGGCCACGUAUUACGCGUUGGCUGAGAUCGAAAUUCGAGACCCGUUGAACCUGAUUCAGUUAGCACUGACGUAGGGAACUAUGAGCACUUUGCC
rfam:Vibrio sp. EJY3 chromosome 2, complete sequence.